AGUGAACGCUGGCGGUAGGCCUAACACAUGCAAGUCGAACGGCAGCACAGUAAGCGCUUGCUCUUACGGGUGGCGAGUGGCGGACGGGUGAGGAAUACAUCGGAAUCUACUUUUUCGUGGGGGAUAACGUAGGGAAACUUACGCUACUACCGCAUACGACCUACGGGUGAAAGCAGGGGAUCUUCGGACCUUGCGCGAUUGAUUGAGCCGAUGUCGGAUUAGCUAGUUGGCGGGGUAAAGGCCCACCAAGGCGACGAUCCGUAGCUGAUCUGAGAGGAUGAUCGGCCACACUGGAACUGAGACACGGUCCAGACUCCUACGGGAGGCAGCAGUGGGGAAUAUUGGACAAUGGGCGCAGGCCUGAUCCAGCCAUACCGCGUGGGUGAAGAAGGCCUUCGGGUUGUAAAGCCCUUUUGUUGGGAAAGAAAAGCAGCAGGUUAAUACCCGGCUGUUCUGACGGUACCCAAAGAAUAAGCACCGGCUAACUUCGUG
rnacentral:rRNA from 1 species